rnacentral:rRNA from 1 species
CGUGUAGGCGGUUGGUUAAGUCGGAUGUGAAAGCCUGGGGCUCAGCCCCAGAAGUGCAUCCGAAACUAUCCAGCUAGAGCGCGAUAGAGGAGGGUGGAAUUCCUGGUGUAGCGGUGAAAUGCGUAGAUAUCAGGAGGAACACCGGCGGCGAAGGCGGCCCUCUGGAUCGUUGCUGACGCUGAGACGCGAAAGCGUGGGGAGCAAACAGGAUUAGAUACCCUGGUAGUCCACGCCUUAAACGAUGGGUACUAGGUGUUCGGGGUGUUGACCCCUUGAGUGCCGCAGUUAACGCAUUAAGUACCCCGCCUGGGGACUACGGCCGCAAAGGUUAAA